rnacentral:tRNA from 1 species
GGCGGGCGUAGCCAAGUGGUAAGGCACUGUUUUGUGGCGUCAGCAUCGCGGGUUCAAUUCCCGUCGUCCGCCU